rnacentral:misc_RNA from 1 species
GUAUUAUAGGUUUAUAGGCUUUAUGGGCCCAUUGAUAACGUUCUUUAACAUACAUCGGUGUAUAUAUAAAUCAUAGAAUCUGAAAAGACAGCCAAAGACAAGAACAGCUAUUCAAACAAGAACAGCAACAUCCCAGUAACCCGGAGGUUAGGCUUAUUGUCUUUUCAAGACCUACACAGGGUGCACAUGGUGGAAAGAUAAAAAUGACAGGCGUGCACAUGCUCAGAUAAGAGCCAGCAACAACCCACCAAGUUUACUCUGUAAUGAUCCUUCCGCAGGUUCACCUACGGAAA